rnacentral:tRNA from 3 species
GCCCAGGUGGCGGAAUUGGUAGACGCGCCAGCUUCAGGUGCUGGUAACUGUAUGGUUGUGGAAGUUCGAGUCUUCUCCUGGGCACCA